CGGAAUUAUUGGGCGUAAAGAGCUCGUAGGCGGUUUGUCGCGUCUGCUGUGAAAUCCCGAGGCUCAACCUCGGGCCUGCAGUGGGUACGGGCAGACUAGAGUGCGGUAGGGGAGAUUGGAAUUCCUGGUGUAGCGGUGGAAUGCGCAGAUAUCAGGAGGAACACCGAUGGCGAAGGCAGAUCUCUGGGCCGUAACUGACGCUGAGGAGCGAAAGCGUGGGGAGCGAACAGGAUUAGAUACCCUGGUAGUCCACGCCGUAAACGUUGGGAACUAGAUGUGGGGACCAUUCCACGGUCUCCGUGUCGCAGCUAACGCAUUAAGUUCCCCGCCUGGGGAGUACGGCCGCAAGGCUAAAACUCAAAGGAAUUGACGGGGGCCCGCACAAGCGGCGGAGCAUGCGGAUUAAUUCGAUGCAACGCGAAGAACCUUACCAAGGCUUGACAUAUACGAGAACGGGCCAGAAAUGGUCAACUCUUUGGACACUCGUAAACAGGUGGUGCAUGGUUGUCGUCAGCUCGUGUCGUGAGAUGUUGGGUUAAGUCCCGCAACGAGCGCAACCCUCGUCCUAUGUUGCCAGCACGUAAUGGUGGGAACUCAUGGGAUACUGCCGGGGUCAACUCGGAGGAAGGUGGGGAUGACGUCAAAUCAUCAUGCCCCUUAUGUCUUGGGCUUCACGCAUGCUACAAUGGCCGGUACAAAGGGCUGCAAUACCGUAAGGUGGAGCGAAUCCCAAAAAGCCGGUCUCAGUUCGGAUUGAGGUCUGCAACUCGACCUCAUGAAGUCGGAGUCGCUAGUAAUCGCAGAUCAGCAACGCUGCGGUGAAUACGUUCCCGGGCCUUGUACACACCGCCCGUCAAGUCAUGAAAGUCGGUAACACCCGAAGCC
rnacentral:rRNA from 1 species